GUACGAAUGUGCUGGGGAAAGAAAAUUGUAUUUUCAUCGAGUGUUUCUAAGAAGAACAAUAUUUCCUUGUAGCCAGAAAUCCUUAAGGCAGGAAGUGAGAGGAAGUGAGCCAUGUGCCUGAGAUGAAGCAGGAGUGGUGCAGGAAGAAUCAAAAGUGAAUCACUCCAGCGGAAGUUCCAAGGAAGUCCUUUCAUUGGCCAUGGUCUUGGAGAAGAUGGGUGUUCCUCCCAGGUUAAAAGUCCCCUUCUUCCACACCCCUUCGGACUCCAUGUUUGGAUCCCCUUCCACUCUGGUGGAAGCCGUCUUUGUCUCUCCCAAAUUUCAUCUCUGAAGUCCUCUUCCACACUCUCUUGUGGAGCCUGUCCUCCCCUCCUAUGCUCCGUCUCUCCCUCUAUUCCCUUCCAGUUAGUGUGGAAGCUGCUUUCCUCUCCUGGAUUCCAUCUGUCUGGAUUUCCCCACUCAGUGUAAGAGUUAGCUGUUUCUUUCUCUCUUCUUCUCCUUUUUCUCUUUCGUUACCUAAAUAAAGUCACUUUCUACAAGGACUUUUGAGUUCAGCAUUUACUUUUACGAGCGCACUGUACCGUGGUCUCCUCUCCCAUUCUUGGGGAGCGAUAGACCAAGAACCUGGAGAAACAGCCUCUCGG
rnacentral:lncRNA from 1 species